UACAGAGGUCCCAAGCGUUGUUCGGAUUCACUGGGCGUAAAGGGUGCGUAGGUGGCCAGGUAAGUUCGGUGUGAAAGCUCGGAGCUUAACUCCGAAAUGGCAUUGAAUACUAUCUGGCUAGAGGGUCGGAGGGGAGACUGGAAUUCUCGGUGUAGCAGUGAAAUGCGUAGAUAUCGAGAGGAACACCAGUGGCGAAGGCGGCUCACUGGUCCAUUACUGACGCUGAGGUGCGAAAGCGUGGGGAGCAAACAGG
rnacentral:rRNA from 1 species